rnacentral:rRNA from 1 species
CUACGUGCCAGCAGCCGCGGUAAUACGUAGGUCCCGAGCGUUGUCCGGAUUUAUUGGGCGUAAAGCGAGCGCAGGCGGUUAGAUAAGUCUGAAGUUAAAGGCUGUGGCUUAACCAUAGUACGCUUUGGAAACUGUUUAACUUGAGUGCAAGAGGGGAGAGUGGAAUUCCAUGUGUAGCGGUGAAAUGCGUGGAUAUAUGGAGGAACACCGGUGGCGAAAGCGGCUCUCUGGCUUGUAACUGACGCUGAGGCUCGAAAGCGUGGGGAGCAAACAGGAUUAGAUGCCCUGGUAGUCCACGCCGUAGACGAUGAGUGCUAGGUGUUAGACCCUUUCCGGGGUUUAGUGCCGCAGCUAACGCAUUAAGCACUCCGCCUGGGGAGUACGACCGCAAGGUUGAAACUCAAAGGAAUUGACGGGGGCCCGCACAAGCGGUGGAGCAUGUGGUUUAAUUCGAAGCAACGCGAAGAACCUUACCAGGUCUUGACAUCCCUCUGACCGCUCUAGAGAUAGAGUUUUC